rnacentral:misc_RNA from 1 species
UCAACAGCAAGCAGGCAAGAUAAAAGUGUCGAAGUAACAGCAGCAUUACUACCAGACAGUUGAGCAACCCCAUACCUAUCUUCCUUGUGUGAGCGUGCAGUUAAGAAGGCAACUGUCCUGGCACACCAUGCACAUUGCUGGAAGUUGUUCAGGGAUUUGCAAUACUUUGGGUCUUGUUGUAAAUCAGUUUGCGACUGGAACUGAUUCGAUUGUUGGUAAGCCUUAUCAACAGAAUGAGUUUGAAGGCCUUCACCCAAAGUAGAAGCAAGCUGCUCCAGCGGCCUCAAGCAUACAGCUACAACUCUUUUGUAAGUCUCACCAGUUUCUUCAAAAAAAUGCAGCUCGCCGCCAAGUAUCAACAUUAUUUUCACAAACCAUGCAGAGAUCAAGAUAUGCAAGAAACUGUGGAAGAGAACCUGGGCUGCUCUCCUCCAAAGCUGCUAGGAGAGGCUCACUGGGAUUUGUUUCUGCAGCUGCUGAUCCUUUUGGUGGUGCAAAUAUGAAUAUUUUCGUAUGUAGCACCUGAUGUAAAUGGUGACUUAUUUCCCAACUGAGGAACACAGAAAGGCUCCCAGAAUACAGGAUGAUCUGCUCAGUGAUAAACUUCUUUAUUGUCACAUAACUCUUAAACUGAUUUGGAAGAAACACAAGCAGCACUGCUGAAAAUACGUAAGCUGUACUUGAGAGCUUUAAAGCUUGUUCAAUGGCCAAAGGAAGCCUCACUUUGAUGCUGAAGAAAGGGGGCCUCUGAAUAAUGGGAAACUCCAAAACCCAUCGCUGUUUAUAAAUAUAAAAGCAGGCAUAAAGCAAUCCAAAAGCAAAACCUCUAAGCCCAAUUCUUCCAAUCAGCUGCACUCCAUCAUAACCGUCGUUGGCCCAGCCGCAUACGCAAAUCACCGAGAGAAAUCCCGAGAUGGAAGCCGCCGCCAGAAAGAAACUAAGAUAAAGGUUAGCCUGGCGGUGGAAAUCACGGGACGAG